rnacentral:rRNA from 1 species
GACGAACGCUGGCGGCGUGCUUAACACAUGCAAGUCGAACGGAAAGGCCCUGCUUUUGUGGGGUGCUCGAGUGGCGAACGGGUGAGUAACACGUGAGUAACCUGCCCUUGACUUUGGGAUAACUUCAGGAAACUGGGGCUAAUACCGGAUAGGAGCUCCUGCUGCAUGGUGGGGGUUGGAAAGUUUCGGCGGUUGGGGAUGGACUCGCGGCUUAUCAGCUUGUUGGUGGGGUAGUGGCUUACCAAGGCUUUGACGGGUAGCCGGCCUGAGAGGGUGACCGGCCACAUUGGGGCUGAGAUACGGCCCAGACUCCUACGGGAGGCAGCAGUGGGGAAUAUUGCACAAUGGGCGGAAGCCUGAUGCAGCAACGCCGCGUGCGGGAUGACGGCCUUCGGGUUGUAAACCGCUUUCGCCUGUGACGAAGCGUGAGUGACGGUAAUGGGUAAAGAAGCUCCGGCUAACUACGUG